CCUCAGCGGCCUGUCUCCGUUUUUGGGGGAUGAUGAUAAUGAGACGCUGAACAACAUCCUGGCGUGUCAGUGGAACUUUGAAGAAGAGGAAUUCACGGACGUGUCGGACGAAGCCAAAGACUUCAUCACACGUCUGCUGGUCAAGAGCAAGAGCUGGAGGAUGAGUGCCACCGAGUCCCUCAAGCACCCCUGGCUGUCAGACCAGGAACUGCACUACAAACUAGACCAGAAGAAAAAUAAGUGCCACUCAACACAUGCACCUCCACCAGAGAGCUAGAAAGAACCAUAAUGAAGACCUCUGCAUGUUUUUCCACAACCUGGGCCCCGGAGCCUACCACUGGACCAACGCUGCUUUACCUGUGAUGCUGUUUGGCAAAUGGAAACUACUCUCUGCUUUGCUAUCUUAUGUUCAGCUCUGUGGUUUUGGCCUGCGGCACAAAAGUCAUUAUUAGAACAUUAUUUCUGUCCUGACGAGAGUACAAACCUUUGGCUCAGUGAAUGUUGCAUUUUAGAGUCUCAUUACUGGAGCUUGGUCAGUUACUAGGGAUGCACCGAUCCAGCAUUUUCGUAUACCGAUACCGAUUUCAAUAUUAUAGGUUUAAGUAUAUGCCAAUCCCAGAUAUCAACUGAUACCAGUGCAGAGUCAGAAAAUGGCAUUUAUUUCCUUUAUACAAUAAUAAAAUAAAACAGAACUAAUCCACAUAAUCCACAAUGGAGCUGUUAUUUAUCACUCAA